UCAGAGUAACACCACAAAUAUCAUAUUCACCUGAGUACACUACACCAACACAGAAAAAAAUUCAUAUUACUAGAAUACAUUAUUGAAGGAACUAGAUUCUGUUCCGAAAUAUCACUUACUCGAACCGUCCUGACCGCAUAGCUCAGUUGGAAGAGCAUUGGGCUAGUAUUCCAAAGGUCGUAGGUUCGAAUCCCACCGUGACCGGGCAUAUUUUUCAAGCUCGCCCGGUGUGGAUAUACACUCAGAGUAACACCACAAAUAUCAUAUUCACCUGAGUACACUACACCAACACAGAAAAAUUCAUAUUACUAGAAUACAUUGGUAUCGAAGGAACUAGAUUCUGUUCCGAAAUAUCACUUACUCGAACCGUCCUGACCGCGUAGCUCGGUUGGAAGAGCAUUGGGCUAGUAUUCCAAAGGUCGUAGGUUCGAAUCCCACCGUGGCCGGGCAUAUUUUCAAGCUCGCCCGG